GACCCCUUCGUCUAGUGGUCAGGACACCGGGUUUUCAUCCCGGCAACACGGGUUCGACUCCCGUAGGGGUUA
rnacentral:tRNA from 2 species